GACGAACGCUGGCGGCGCGCUUAACACAUGCAAGUCGAGCGAUGAAAUCUUAACAGAACCCUUCGGGGUGAAGAUAAGACGGAUUAGCGGCGGACGGGUGAGUAACACGUGAGUAACCUGCCUUUUACACAGGGAUAGCCUCAGGAAACCGGGAUUAAAACCUGAUGAAACUAUCAAAUCACAUGAUUAAGAAAGUUAAAACUCCGGUGGUAAAAGAUGGACUCGCGUCCCAUUAGCUAGUUGGUGAAGGUAACGGCCCACCAAGGCAACGAUGGGUAGCCGGCCUGAGAGGGUGAACGGCCACAUUGGAACUGAGAAACGGUCCAAACUCCUACGGGAGGCAGCAGUGGGGAAUAUUGCACAAUGGGGGAAACCCUGAUGCAGCGACGCCGCGUGAGCGAAGAAGGCCUUCGGGUCGUAAAGCUCUUUUAUAUGGGAAGAUAAUGACGGUACCAUAAGAAAAAGCCCCGGCGAACUACGU
rnacentral:rRNA from 1 species